AUGAUUUGUUUUCAUUAUGUUUUAGAAAAACUGCAUCAUGAUCAGAGGCAGCUGGACCUGUUCUUUGGUCUCCUCGGUGGGGUCAUGAUUGUAACCUCUGACCACAGGCCAGGAGAAACCAUGAACCUCACCGUGGAGGAAUUUCAUUCCUUUAAAGAGGGCAGAGAUGGCCAUGACAUUUGUGUGAGGGUUGUAGUAGUCAUUGUUUUGUUUGCAUUUGUCUGUUUAUAUAUAUAUAGUCGUACACUUAUUCAUAAUUAUCUUACUUCACAGGUAAAAAAGCACAAAACAUGUGCAACAUUCGGUCAUGUGAUACUCUCCAUCACAAAGGGGGAGUAUAAUUGCAUGUCCGAAUUUCUAAAAAUCCGUGGAAGCUUUGAGGGGAGCCAGUCAGCCCUCUUCUUUUUUAAUUCGAAGGGUGAGGUGUUCAAGGGCCUCCUCAAAGCUUUCACUGCUGCAUGGGAGUUUGUGGGCCUCCCAAAACCGGCCCCAACUUUCAUGGCCUUGAGGACCUCUAUGUCCACUCAGAAAACCUUUUGGAUCCAGCUGCCCAUGCUGAGUUUGUGAGGGCCACUUCGGAGGUGCUUCCCAAAAUACUGCGUAAGUUACAAGGCUUUUGGUCGAUUCCAGACAACAAAAUACAAAAGUGGAUUAAGAGUUUGAUUUCAUAGUU
rnacentral:lncRNA from 1 species